UAAGUGAAAGAUAAAGCAAUUUUAAAACAUGGAGAAUGUCAUACCUUCAAUAUUAUAGUCCUUUUGUCUCAUAUUUAUUGCUUCAUGUUUAAGGCAAAACAGAGAGAAACCAAGAAUUCAAGGGGUCGUGUUCUUUAUAGCUCUAUUUUUACAAUUUUGAAUUUUUUAGCCGAAUCCCCGCACCCGUAUCCAUAUCUGGAUCUGCACCCCCCGAAUCUUAAAAUUUAGAUUUUGCCGAAUCUGACAGUCGGAUCCAUACCCAUAUCGGAUACCAGCACCUCGAGUCCGAGCAACUUAGCCUGAUUCUGCUGCCAUCAUCCUUUUGUCCGAAGCGACGACACUUGUGCAUACCUCACAACUGUUGUAAGUUCUCUUCCUUUCUUGGGAGAUCAAAACAACGUGGUUCACGAAGCGUUGUCAGAGUACUCACUUAAUUUAUUAAUCCUGUGGGCUCCUAGAUUUGUGCGGAUAAGUGGAAGUUAAU